CGUCGCUGUUUGGUCAGCAGUGUGUGGACCGUCUCUACCCGCCCUACAACACUCCCCGCGAUACUCGGUCCCCACCACUGUGACCCCUUUUGUCUGGAACGCAAUGAGGACUCAGGCUGUUGCGGUGGAGCCUUGACACAGCAUGACGAGUGAAACCGAGACACUGUACUCUGUACAGAGCUACGAGGCGUCAAAGAACGGGGACUGUCGGACAACCGCAUAGCACGGCUCUUAGUUCAGGCACAGGGAGCUCUGCCUUUCACAACCAGAAAGCCACGCAGUGAUGCCUCUCAUCAUGGCCCUCCAGGACAGAAGGAGUAUUGAUCGUUCCCUGCCCUGCUUUAAAUAUAAAAAGUUGA